rnacentral:rRNA from 1 species
ACGAACGUUGGCGGCGUGGAUUAGGCAUGCAAGUCGAGCGGAAAGGCCCCGCAAGGGGUACUCGAGCGGCGUAAGGGGUAGUAACACGUAGGUAACCUGCCUCGGGGACCGGGAUAGCCGGGGGAAACCUCGAAUAAUACCGGGCGACAUCUCUGGGACGCCUGUCCUGGGGAUCAAAGGGUGUGAUUCCGCCCCGAGAGGGGCCUGCGUCCUAUCAGCUAGUUGGUAGGGUGACGGCCUACCAAGGCUUUGACGGGUAGGGGGCGUGAGAGCGCGACCCCCACCACUGGGACUGAGACACUGCCCAGACUCCUACGGGAGGCUGCAGUCGAGAAUCUUCGGCAAUGGGCGCAAGCCUGACCGAGCGACGCCGCGUGUGGGAUGAAGGCCUUCGGGUUGUAAACCACUGUCAGGGGGACUGAAAUCCUUCGGGGCUAUCCCCGUUGGUUGACAGGACUCCAGAGGAAGCACGGGCUAAGUUCGUGCCAGCAGCCGCGGUAAGACGAACCGUGCGAACGUUGUUCGGAAUCACUGGGCUUAAAGGGUGCGUAUGCGGCUGAGUUAGUCGGGUGUGAAAUCCUCUCGGCUUAACCCGAGGAACUGCGUCCGAUACUGCUCGGCUAGAGUGAGAUAGAGGCGCGUGGAAACUUCCGGUGGAGCGGUGAAAUGCGUUGAGAUCGGAAGGAACGCCGGUGGCGAAAGCGACGCGCUGGGUCUCGUACUGACGCUGAGGCACGAAAGCUAGGGUAGCGAACGGGAUUAGAUACCCCGGUAGUCCUAGCCGUAAACGAUGAGCACUGGGUUGAGGAAGUUCCGAUGCUUUCUCAGCCGAAGCAAAAGUGUUAAGUGCUCCGCCUGGGGAGUAUGGUCGCAAGGCUGAAACUCAAAGGAAUUGACGGGGGCUCACACAAGCGGUGGAGCAUGUGGCUCAAUUCGAGGCUACGCGAAGAACCUUAUCCCAGGCUUGACAUGCGGGUAGUAGGACCCCGAAAGGGCAACGACGGGUAUCCAGUCCCGAGCCCGCACAGCUGCUGCAUGGCUGUCGUCAGCUCGUGCCGUGAGGUGUCGGGUUAAGUCCCAUAACGAGCGAAACCCUUGUCCUUAGUUGCAACCGCGAGGGCACUCUAGAGGGACUGCCCAGGAGAACGGGGAGGAAGGUGGGGACGACGUCAAGUCAGCAUGGCCUUUAUGCCUGGGGCUACACACGUGCUACAAUGGCCGGUACAAAGGGCUGCAAACCCGCGAGGGAGAGCUAAUCCCAAAAAACCGGCCUCAGUUCAGAUUGGGGUCUGCAACUCGACCCCAUGAAGGAGGAAUCGCUAGUAAUCGCGGAUCAGCACGCCGCGGUGAAUACGUUCCCGGGCCUUGUACACACCGC